rnacentral:lncRNA from 1 species
GCAGUUUCACCACAAUAAACCGUGAUCUUUCACUCUCCAGAACAUGACCUCCAAGGCUAAGUGGCUAAAGGACUGCCCGCUCUACGGGUAGCAGACCCGGCUGUGACAGCUUUGCACAGAAAGCUUUCAUAAGGGGAUUGCGACUAGCGACAGCAGCAACAGUUCAACAGACUGUCAUCAAGUAGCGGGCAGGAUUCCCCUAGAAAAGUGCUUUGGUUCCUGGCAGAGCACCGUAGGAACCGUACUUCAGGGCUUGCAUGCUGCUCUCGGUCCUGUUAGGAGUCACGGGAUGGACAAGCCUGCCCACCUAGCUGAGUGGCUGCUUUUUUGGGGCACACUGAAUAUCAGCGUGUUCCAAGGGGAGUUUUCCUCAAGCGUCCUGCGUUGCAGGGAUACACUGUGUCUGUUGGCUUUGCUUGAAUUGGAUGAAAAUUAAAUGAUACCCAAAUCAAAAGUCAUUUUCACUUCUGCUAAGUGAAAACCCUGCCUUUUGGUCUGUCUUCCUGAGAUGCCGAUUGUACAAAUUAAAAUGCAGAGUUACGGGGAAAUUUGUGACUAUAAGGAAAAUAUCUUGACCAUAGGAAAUAUCUGUGACUGUAAGAUACAGGCACCUGUUCCUUGCAGGAGGGAUGUUGGCUUGUGUCUGUCAGAGCCAGCAUCUUUCUGGAAUCAAGCACGUGAAAACUCUUGUCCUCUUGUUAAUUCUCAUACCUACAAAGGAACACAUUGCACAUUCUGUUUGCUGAUCCUUUACACAUGUCUUGGGGGGCAGUUCCUCAAGAAGCUGCUUCUUUACUUGGAUGUGUUUGGAGCUUCUCACAAGAUAAACAGUACUCUGAAGUUUGUUAGCUUCACCUUGGCUUGUCAUCAGUGCUAGUCAAGUGCAAGCAUUAAUCAAAUUAAAGGUUUACUACAGCCGGGCAUAAGGGCAAGCUCCUAAUUACAAGGCUGGAAAACAAGAAUGACCGGGAGUCGUUUAAACUUGAAAUGUAAUUCUAGGGCAAACUUAACAGGUUUUUCCUUAGCUAUUACCUCUCACCUUAAGUUUUUAGGAUACGUCUCAUCCAUAAAAAAACAGCAGUCUAAUUUGUAUGUGUGGUGUAUGGCUCGGCUCCUUCCCUUCCAGCACGAAAGAAGUGCCUCAGGUGUGGCAGGCUGGGGUUUUGCUGGAAGCACUGAGUGCUCCCUCCUGACCCUGCUUUCUGUUGUGCCUUCUGAGCAAGCUGCCCUAGUACACGUUGACCAGCUCCUCUUCCCCGGCAGCAAUUCACAAAGCAGUUUACAAAGCAUUUACUGGCUUUCCUACAUUUACUGUUUAACAGCAUUACAAACUGCGAGCUCUCUAGCUGAUCCCUCAGAUUGUCCGUACGUAGCUGAUCUCCUCUGGGGUGACACAAACAGUGCUUUAGCAAGGAAGACAGCGGGCUUGGAGCAGACAGCUGAAAGCGACCCGCAGCUCAAACACAGACAGCUGCAGGAUGUGAAGAUGAAGCUGUACUGCCUUGGGAAGGUAGCAUGUCCGCUAGUUAAUCUACUGCUGGCUCUAGAGAAGCUGCAGCUGCUUUGCCAGCGGUGUACAUGCCAGGUUGUGUGA